rnacentral:rRNA from 1 species
AGGGGUAAACCUGAGAAGCCCGAAAGGUCGAAGGGAGAAAUUCAUUCGCGUUUCGCGGUCGGCGUGAGACGGUCGUGUGACGGAAGACGUUCGCGUUUUCCGCGCCUUCCGUUUUUCGAUCCGAUAGCGAACGCGUGCACUUUUCUCCUGGUAGGACGUCGCGAUCCGUUGGGUGUCGGUCUACGGCUCGCGGUGGAGCCCGGACGUACGGCUUGCCGUCACGUUCGGACCCGCGUGUCCCGGCUGACUCGCUCGACGGUAUACGAAAGGUUUAAGGCCGCUAUUUUAAGCGUUCGGCUCGUGGCAAGCGCGUCAGAUGUGUCGGCGAUCGGACCUAGUGCCGGUUCUGACCUCUGGCGACUGUUGGCCGCGAAGUUCUCGAACAGACCUUAAGACCGAUCUGCGACGCUAUAGCUUUGGGUACUUUCAGGACCCGUCUUGAAACACGGACCAAGGAGUCUAGCAUGUGCGCGAGUCAUUGGGAAUCACUAAACCUAAAGGCGCAAUGAAAGUAAAGGUCCGCCUUGCGCGGACUGAGGGAAGACGGGCGGUUUACCCUUAAAAGUGGCCGCUCCGCAUUCCCGGGGCGUCUCAUUCUCAUCGCGAGAAGAGGCGCACCAAGAGCGUACACGCUGGGACCCGAAAGAUGGUGAACUAUGCCUGGUCAGGACGAAGUCAGGGGAAACCCUGAUGGAGGUCCGUAGCGAUUCUGACGUGCAAAUCGAUCGUCGGAACUGGGUAUAGGGGCGAAAGACUAAUCG